rnacentral:snRNA from 1 species
GUCUCUAUGGAAGCACAUAUACCAAAAUUAGGACAAUAGAAAAUUAGCACGGCCACUGAGCAAGGAUGACACAUAAAUUUGUGAAGAAUCCCAUAUUUUA